CCCAUUUCCCCAUUAUUUCCUCUCUCUUCUUUCCCUCUCAUCACUUUCUUCUCUCUCCCCCCAAGCCGCUGCCGCCGCCCCACCGCCGCCGGCCGGAAAUCGCCGCCGCCGGCGUACCACCUCCAAACACCUCCAAAUUCACACCAUGUAAUCUCCACAACUUCCUCUUUCCAUAUCUCCAAACCAAAUCCUUCAAAAAUCCCUCAAACUCUUUGAAUCUUUGAUCUAGGAAACUUUUCCGUCACUUUUUUGCCCAAAUUAUUGAAGCUCCAACCACUACCACCCCACAAUACCUACAUCAAUGGAUAGAGCUCCUCAAGACCUAGCUAUUGAUGCCAAUUUCACCCUGAAAAUCCGGCGACCAAAAUCCGGCCAAAUUCCGGCGACCUCCCCGAACACCCUCUUUUGGCAUACCACCAUUUUUUCGGCCACUUGAAUUGUAAAAUGGUAAAAUCCUAUUCUUUUUCAUGGCUGAUUUUUUAUUUUUAUUUUUCAGAUUUUAUUUUUUAUUAUUAAUUAUUUUAGCAUUAGUUUUUGAAGUUUUGGAAUGUUAAAUUUUCUGUUUGCACUUGUUGAAGUAGUAAAAUAGCUUUGUGUUGAUUAAAGUGAGGUAGUGAGGAAAUGCUUGAGAGUAUAUGGUAAAAUCGUAAUCCUGCCCCGUUAUUAAUUUUUUGAAUUUUUAGUUAAAGUUAGUUUCUAUCUUGUUUCUUCAUUUAAUCCAUUUUUGAUUAUGUUUGUCUAGUUGGUUUUAUUAAAUCGCUCCAGCGAUAGCGUGCGUUUUGUUUGGCUUUAAUAGUUAAUUUUUGUUUGCUUACGAUUGGUUCAUAACACAUGUGUGAAGUUUAAUUACAUGUUUUAAUACUUGGUAUAGUUUGAAUCAACAGGGUGAUAUUGAUGUUGUUAAAAUCUGAAGUUUAUGUUAUUUUAUCCCAAGAUAGGGUGCUAGUAGCCUACUUUUACUAGUUAGGGUGGCUGAAAUGAUAUUUUUUUUUCUCUUUGUUUCUGACAUAGUAGAUUUUCUUUGACCUUUGGACAGAUUUUGAACAGUGUUUAGCACACAAUGUCAGUUUUUGUCGGACAGACAUUUGGUGAACCAAAAUUUGUCCAAAUUUGCUUAUUUAAGGGCUGCCCUUUCCUCACUUUGGGGGACUCCAUCACACUUUCAGGGGGCAUUUUUUAUAAUUGCUUUGUCACAAAAACAAAAAAAAAAUUCAGCAGUUGAACACAUGAAAAUUAAGCUGAAAUGAUGAGCUUUGGGAGUGAAUCUUAGAGUGCAAACUUUUAAAAAAUUAUAAGUCCUCUUUAGAGUUCGNN
rnacentral:lncRNA from 1 species